rnacentral:rRNA from 1 species
AACAAACGCUGGCGGCGUGCCUAACACAUGCAAGUCGUACGAGAAAGGGUCCUUCGGGGCCUGAGUAAAGUGGCGCACGGGUGAGUAACGCGUGGAUAAUCUGCCCUUCAGUUGGGAAUAACUCAUCGAAAGGUGGGCUAAUACCGAAUAAUGCUGUGAGACCUCGGUUGAUCAGCCAACGAACGCCUCUGCUUGCAAGCCCUCGCUGAAGGAUGAGUCCGCGUACCAUUAGCUAGUUGGUAGGGUAAUGGCCUACCAAGGCGACGAUGGUUAGCUGGUCUGAGAGGAUGAUCAGCCACACUGGAACUGAGACACGGUCCAGACUCCUACGGGAGGCAGCAGUGAGGAAUCUUGCGCAAUGGGGGCAACCCUGACGCAGCAACGCCGCGUGAGUGAGGAAGGUCUUCGGAUCGUAAAGCUCUGUCGGAUGGAAAGAACCGCAUAGGGGUAAACAGCCCCUGUGUCUGACGGUACCAUCAAAGGAAGCACCGGCUAACUCCGUGCCAGCCGCCGCAGUAACAC